UGAACGCUGGCGGCGUGUCUAAGGCAUGCAAGUCGAAUGCUUAGUUUACUAGGCAUGGCAAACGGGAGAGUAACACAUUGGUAAUUUACCCCUAAGACGAGAAUAACCUUGCGAAAGCGAGAGUAAUACUCGAUAGUAUUAAAGAACAUGAGUUCUUUAAUUAAAGCUCCGGCGCUUAGGGAGAAGCCUAUGGCCUAUCAGCUAGUUGGUGAGGUAAUAGCUCACCAAGGCUACGACGGGUAUGGGGUGCGAGAGCAUGGCCCCACUCACUGGGACUGAGACACUGCCCAGACUCCUACGGGAGGCUGCAGUCAAGAAUCUUCCUCAAUGGACGAAAGUCUGAAGGAGCGACGCCGCGUGUAUGAAGAAGCCCUUCGGGGUGUAAAGUACUUUUAUCAGGGACGAAUCAAUGACGGUACCUGAUGAAUAAGGGGCUGCUAACCUCGU
rnacentral:rRNA from 1 species